rnacentral:sRNA from 2 species
GGUGCUUUCCGUUAGGCGAGGCUCCUAUACGAACAAUGCUGCUGCUCAGAAACAUCCAGAGAUGCCAAUGAGUCAACCACGCUUACCGAUAAGGUUUGUGUUAAUGUAGCUGAAGAAUUCUUCUAGGCGUAUAGUGCUAAAACUUCACGAUUGGGAUGCAAU